rnacentral:rRNA from 1 species
ACAUCCAGAGACUUAGCAGAGAUGCUUUGGUGCCUUCGGGAACUCUGAGACAGGUGCUGCAUGGCUGUCGUCAGCUCGUGUUGUGAAAUGUUGGGUUAAGUCCCGCAACGAGCGCAACCCUUAUCCUUUGUUGCCAGCGGUUCGGCCGGGAACUCAAAGGAGACUGCCGGUGAUAAACCGGAGGAAGGUGGGGAUGACGUCAAGUCAUCAUGGCCCUUACGGCCAGGGCUACACACGUGCUACAAUGGCGCAUACAAAGAGAAGCGACCUCGCGAGAGCAAGCGGACCUCAUAAAGUGCGUCGUAGUCCGGAUUGGAGUCUGCAACUCGACUCCAUGAAGUCGGAAUCGCUAGUAAUCGUAGAUCAGAAUGCUACGGUGAAUACGUUCCCGGGCCUUGUACACACCGCCCGUCACACCAUGGGAGUGGGUUGCAAAAGAAGUAGGUAGCUUAACCUUCGGGAGGGCGCUUACCACUUUGUGAUUCAUGACUGGGGUGAAGUCGUAACAAGGUAAGCGUAGUGCU